GGAAAGCGCAGAUCCCUCCUCCCCCAACUCCCCAUCCCCAGUUCUGCAACUGGAAGGCGCGGCUAGACGGGCUCCCUCCCGGGACUCUCCCCGACCCUCUCUGAAGUGUGUGGGCACCCCCUCCCCCACUCUUCUCUGGUUAUUUUGGAGCCUGGGCUGCCAGCCGCUGGCCCCGGGUUUCCACGUGCCUCCUCCCUCCCCCUGCCCACGCGCCCCGUGACGCACAUCCUCCGCCCACGCAGCCUCUGUUUCAGGCGCCCCCCUCCCUCCCACCCGGGCCCCUUUGGGGCGGUGCUGAGCCCCCGGGUCCGGAGAGAGACGCAGGCCCAGGAAAGAGGGCGGAGUAGCGAGUGAGGCCGGCGAGGGGUUGUCGUGAGGUUCAAAUGAGAAGAUGUGUAUGAAGACUCUGUAAAGUGCCAAGCAAAUUUAAGACGUUAUUGCUAGUUUGUGCCUCUGUAUCCUCAGAUAAUGUAUUUAUAUGUUUCUUUACAUCGAA